GCGGGUAUAGUUUAGUGGUAUGACGCAUCCUUGCCAAGGAUGAGAUCGGAGUUCGAUUCUCCGUACCCGCACAA
rnacentral:tRNA from 1 species